AAGUUUCCCAUUCAGAGUAAGCUCUUUGAGACGCUAACUCGAUAUUGCAUAAGAGAAGAAAGAGGAAGAAGUGAGCUGUAGCCUUAGUCUUAGUACGCGCACUAGAAGGGGCUACCGAAUGCGCCAGUGACAAAAGAAAAUCUUGUUUGUGUGCCGCGAAGGGCCUACCCCUUGAAAAUGGAAGGGCAUGGAGAAGCGGAUUCCUACUUCUUAAUAGAAUAGCUUGAUCGACCACCAUCCUUAUUGACCUUCCCUCGGGUUGGUAUGCUUGUGUGUCAAGCAAUCCUGCUUCGGUAGCAGACUUCGGUCAAGGAAAUCGCUUCAAGCAAUGGCUUUGGAUCGACCUGACUUCUUAGAGAGGAAAGCCAGUGAAUGAAUGAAUGAAAUCCGUUGAAUGAAGAAGUCUUUAUGGCUCAAGCAGCUAGCGGACCUCCUUAAUUGAGUGAGAAAGUCAAGCAUGUCAGCACGCCCCCUACCUAUGUAGUCGGCUUCCCGGUAGUUUGCGGGACGCUAUUGGAAUCGGUCUAUCUAAAUGGCCUAUCUCCAGAUGUAUGUAUUCUUGAAGUGCCUUUCUCAUAGUUCCCUUCCCGGGCAUUGAUUGAGAGGGAAUAGACUUCCCCACUGAACGAGGAAGGCAGCAAUCUCCUGGAGAUAGAAGGGCAAUCCCCAAAAGAAGCGGCCAGAGGAGACAUUCAUUAAUAACGGAUCUCGACCCCUCACCCGUACUGAUGGGAAUGACGGGCACUGCAUUUAUGCCGAAGCCGAGGAACUGAACCAAUUACUUUAAAGGCUGGCAUCCCGGACUGAUAAAGGAUCAACUAGGAAGACUGGGCAGAAAUCUUCUUACCCGCAGUAGCGACAAUCAGGAGCACUACUUCUAUAAGAUGAUUCUCGCCAUUUUCCUUACAAUAGGGGCAUUGACUUCAGUCUCAACUAGACCUAGACCCAAUAAAGCUCGAAAAAGCAGGAUUGCUUGAAUGGAAAGAACAAAACGUAAAGGACAACCAAACGAAAGCGCUAACAGCAGAGGGCAGUAUCUAUAUUAUAUAUAGUAGAGCUCGCUUACCAGACGAAACCAGGCCUUUAAGGUAAGGCUGGAGUGGAAGGGAGAGUAGACCCGAGAGCUGCAAUAGUAAUUAGUAUUCUAGCACCAGCCCUUCUCGUAUCGAGACAAGACAGAGCGGGGAAAGCUGCCUUAUGUAGUUACCUGCUCUUUCAUCGAGAUUAGCGAAUUACGGUAGAAGAUCGGAGAGAAUCUGGUUCGAGGAGCCUAGCCUUCUUUGCUAUUAGUUUCAAUAUCUGCUGCUUUUGUUUGCGCCAACCCUCUUAGAAGGAAGAACUCUGGGGAACUUCCGGAUUAACUGAUUAAGGAGUUCCGGUCGAAAGAGAAAUGAGUUAGCGGGAAGAAGAUUAGCAGUACGAGGAGGCGAUUCAGCAAGCUAGCCACACCUCCAUCACUUGACACUUUCUUAUUCACACCGAAGAGAGAGUGCUAGACUAGUGCCCAAUGAAGACCCAAGCAAUGCAUCUCAAGCUCUCGCUUUCAGAGCAGAUGUGCGAGAAGUUUAAUUACGAAGCUAUGCUGAUAUCUAUCUAAGAGCUCAUAUUCAAAGGAAAGGGCGGACCUGGGACCUGUACUUUAUAAAGGAUGGAAUGGAGCCAAGGGAAGAAAACGAACAAGAAGCACACUUCAAGGUCACUCUCUGUCUUCUUGCCUGGAAUAAACUCACUCCAGUGCAGUGGGAGGACCCCCUAUAAUAGGAUGCUACUCGUACCUGUAGAAAGAAGAGCGAGAGCGGAAGAGUAGGAUUCGGUAACUAGGAAAUGCCCCAUGCUCGAGGAGAAGGAGACCGGAUAGAGAAGAACGGGGCACACUCCUCCCAUUAAGAGAAAGCACAGGGAAAUCUCAAUAUAACCAGAGUGACCCGGGAAAGAAAGACAUGACUCUAGUACGUCCCAAAGGCGGGUGUUGGUCUGUCAAGGAUGGACAUAGAUGCCCCCUUUUUUACUGAAAGUUGAUCCCAGUUGCCCAGAACGCCAGGUUCUAACAUAACAUCUAUUACUUUGAUACUUAACAUUCCGUAACGAGUAGAUACUUCCGCAGAAACAUAAUCGAGAUUGGAUCUUGUACGAAGGUAGACUUCACACCUACCCCAUCUAGACGAUAAAUAGAUAAAUAAAUGGGUUUCUUGCGGGCAUUUGCCAGCUUGAUUCUGAGAAAGAGCUCGUCGGCCUGUUGGGGUUCUCUUAAGAUAUUUCGAAUCAACUUAACCCUAUUCAACAAACAGGUGAUUAUGUACAAAAAAGGCUUGUUAUUGAAUGGCCCCUCUUUGCAACUGAUUUCAUUCAUAUAAUCGGGUGUUAGUUCAUAGGUUUUUAAUCCUGCGUACUCCCGCAUAAAGAAUGAGCAACCGCAACCUGAAACAAUAUCUUAUUUAAGAAGAGCGCUUGCCACUCCUCUAGUGUGAUUUCCAUCGGAGAUAGAAAACCUCUUAUCUUAGGCAUAGACAAAGAUAGCAUCUUCGGUGCAAAAAGUCACAGAGAUUUCGUGCACGCACUAAAGAG
rnacentral:lncRNA from 1 species